rnacentral:rRNA from 1 species
AUUGAACGCUGGCGGCAUGCCUUACACAUGCAAGUCGAACGGUAACAGGUCUUCGGAUGCUGACGAGUGGCGAACGGGUGAGUAAUACAUCGGAACGUGCCCGCGAGUGGGGGAUAACGAGGCGAAAGCUUUGCUAAUACCGCAUACGAUCUCAGGAUGAAAGCAGGGGACCGCAAGGCCUUGCGCUCACGGAGCGGCCGAUGGCAGAUUAGGUAGUUGGUGGGAUAAAAGCUUACCAAGCCGACGAUCUGUAGCUGGUCUGAGAGGACGACCAGCCACACUGGGACUGAGACACGGCCCAGACUCCUACGGGAGGCAGCAGUGGGGAAUUUUGGACAAUGGGCGCAAGCCUGAUCCAGCCAUGCCGCGUGCAGGAUGAAGGCCUUCGGGUUGUAAACUGCUUUUGCACGGAACGAAAAGACUCCUUCUAAUAAAGGGGGUCCAUGACGGUACCGUAAGAAUAAGCACCGGCUAACUACGUGCCAGCCGCCGCUGUAAAAC